ACUGCAGUGGGCCUCUGACCAAAGCAGCCAGUCAUUUUACAAUAUGAGCCUAUCCCUAACCGUGCUGAUGAUGACCUCUGUGUUGUUGGUGCUGUCAUUAGGACUUUUUGACUUUACAGUUGGAAGUCAUCUGCGAAGGGUUUCGUUUUUUUUAAGUAAAGAUGACGACAAAAUGAACUGGAUGGAUUCACUGAACAAGUGUAAAAGCAAUGACAGUUCAUUGGUAACUGUGUAUCAUCAAGAGGACUUAGGUGCUCUUUUAAAGAAUGUGCCUGGAGAGGAGGGGGUUCAGUUUUGGUCAGGGCUGCGUAAGAAUCAAAGCAGUGUCACGACUUGGUCAGAUGGAAACUCACUUGCAUUUAAUAACUCACAAGUAACUAGUAUUGGUGAUGACCAAAUCUGUGAAGCUAUGACAAACAUAACAUGGAAAGCUUUCAACUGUUCGGACAGGAAGCCUUUCAUGUGCUACAAAGAUAAUAAUUAUAUACUGAUUGAUAAGGAAAAGGACUGGUGCCAGGCACUGCAGUACUGUAGAAGACAUUACACUGAUUUAGUGAGCAUCAGUAAUGAGACCCAAAACAAUGACGUGUCUGAAAAAGGAAAAAACAAAACCUUUUGGAUUGGGCUUCAACACGAUCAGUGGACAUGGGUAGAUGGAAGUUGCUCUACAUACAGAAACUGGCCGAAGAAUAAUAAUAAUAAUCCAGAGUGUGCUACCUUUGAUUUGAAUAAUCUGCAUAAAGUGCGGUGUGCCAUAGACGGAGGAAUAUUUUGCA